rnacentral:lncRNA from 1 species
CGGGGGCCCAGGGUGGAGAGCACGAGGGCCUGGCCCAGGCACGGCCGGCGCCUCCGCCCUCGAGGAGGGCGUCACCUCAGCUCCCCCCGGCGGCGGAGCCGGCGGGCUCAGGCGGGCGCGGCUGAGGGGAGCGGACCGCGGGGGGCGGGAGAUGACUGCGCCCAAGGCCUUUGCGGGCCUCAGCCGGCCCCAGAGGAAGGGGAACCCGUCGAGCGGUUUGGUGCGUGUGAAGCGCGACAUGGCGAGGAAGCGGACAAGCCCGGGUGGCCCGGCGUGUAGAGGGAAGGGGGCGGGGCUAGACGCGGCCUGGACAACUACUAGAGCGCCUCGGGCUGUGCUGCUCGAGACUACAUUUCCCAGAGCGACGCGCGCGGAGCGGGCGGGAAAGAGAGCGUUUCGGGUCCAGUGCGCAGGUGCGAAAGCCAUCUUUGGUUAUAUAAGGGAGGUUCAGGAAGCCAUUCGUUCUUUCGCGUCUGCGGUGCCCGGAGUGUGGUACUUCUCCUAGUUGCAGUCAGGCUUCAUACGCUAUUGUCCUGCCCGUUAGAGCAGCCAGCGGGUACAGAAUGGAUUUUGGAAGAGGGAGUCACCACUGGACCUCCAAGGAAGCCACGUGCAGACAUCUACAACCUUCGAUCUCCUGACGAGUUUAUUGUUGGCCAAAACCAGGCUUUGAUUGAACCAGGAUGAAUGCGGGUGUUGGAAGUAGAAUAUAUAUAUACAUAUAAAAUUGAAACUGGCGAUGGAAUAUGAGAGGAGCCCUCUGGAAAGAAAAGGACAGACCCUGUGCUUUCAUGAAAGUGAAGAUCUGGCUGAACCAGUUCCACAAGGUUACUGUAUACAUAGCCUGAGUUUAAAAGGCUGUGCCCACUUCAAGAAUGUCAUUGUUAGACUUUGAAAUUUCUAACUGCCUACCUGCAUAAAGAAAAUAAAAUCUUUUAAAUCAAAA